rnacentral:sRNA from 1 species
UUUAAAUACCAGGAUAUUAUUAACCAAUUUAAUUUGUUUUUUAAACUGCUUAUAGCGGUUAAAAUUAGGGGGUGGGGUUAAGGGCUUUUAAUAAUAAACGCUAUAAUUACGUUAAUAAGGUAUUGUAUGGAAGAUGUACGGAUCCACAAGUUUUGCCGCCGAACUAUUCCGCACACUUUUAUUCUAAUUAUUGAAAAUUAAACGCCGUAUUUAUUUCGAUUUAAAAUUCCUUUCGAUUUAUAAAACCAGGUUAUUCGCAAUUAGGUAUAUUAGCUGUAUUUGCCUGCGACGUCCUGGCAACUUACCAAUCCAUAUUCCAGUCAAAGCAGCACCUGCAAAAUUACCUAAGCAAAUGGGUAUAACCAGCUGGUGCAAAAAAAAAAAAAAAUUUUAAACCCGAUAUAUAUAAAAUCACUAUAUCUAUUAAACGUAUUAUCUCCAAAACUCUAACAAACCCCACAAUCCUAAACUGAUCGACACCCGUAAACGGCCUCCUAUAUUUGGGAUACUAGUCUAUAGCUGCAUAUUAGGCUCCCAAAUGGGGACAAAAUUAAAUUAACCACCAAAAGGCCAAAUCACGACCAUUCUUUUAAAACGUUACCCAUUUAAUACGCUAUAAUUUUAUUAACUUGGGCUUUAUUUUUUUAAAACUAACUCCAAAAUAAAGCCAAAAUAAAUUUGUCCUCAUAACCGACUUUUUGCUAUAUUAUAUAUUUUUUUCGUGGUAAAAUAAUCGCAAAAAUUAAAAUACCAUUCCGCGAUUAAUUUAAUUUUGUCCCCCAUUUAUCUCCCUCAACCACCGCAUUCCUAACUUAAUCGAACAGCUAUAUAAACCUGCAUUUUCUCAGCUAUAUAAAAACCCGUUUUUGCGGCUUGGAGCAAAACCGCAAUUUAAUUUAAAAACCUGGGCGGCAAACUGCGGAAUUAACCUCCGCAUUGUUUCGCCACGUAUUACCAAUGCGCCAUACCCUUCUGGCGUCCGCAAUUUACCGUGCCGUAAAUAACGCGCCGCAAUAAUGGAGGACCUCUUACAUUAUAAUUAACCCCCUUCCGAUUGGAAUAAAUGGCUUAAAAUAACUUUAUUAUAUACUGGGCUAUCCUACCAAAUUAUGCUAUUUAUUUUAUAAAAAUGCAAAUAUUAACAGGCGCUUACCACCACCUGUAUAUAUUAUUCCCCAUUCGAAUAUGCGAAAAAAUUGGAAACGCAAAUUAGAAUUUUAUAAUAUGCAUUUUUUCCAAAUUAUAUACCAAUUGCAAUUAAUGUUGUAAAAUUGAAAAGCAAUAGUUUCCCCAAUACCCUUUCAAUACCAAUGCGUGGUAUUAAACAAUCGGUUCCCUAUAUUAAUACCCUUUGCACCAAUAUACUUAUUCUCAAAUACCCGCAACGCCACAAUACCCACGUCUCCAUACCACCCUAAUUUCCGCCGAAGGCUACCCCCUUUAGAAAUUCCAUCCACCUCAAAUUCGAUCGCACCAACCUAAACUACACCUGCAACUAACAAAAUCUUGGCUUUGGAAUUUAUAGCUCGGAUAUAUUCGACGCAAUUAAUUAUACUCUUACCCGUAUUAAUAAUUAAAUCGACUAACAAAAUACUUUCCAUAUCCACAACGUUUUUCGUAACAAAUUUAUGCGGGUAUUUGGCGAAUGCAAACAUCGCCAAAGGAAAAAUUUGGUAUACGCCCCUAACUAUGGGCUCGCCGCCACGCAUUAUAACCACGAUCAAAGUUCGCUUUUCGGCUUUGAGCCGAUAUCCAAUGGUCUUUUGGCCUUAUACGUGCGGUAUAAUAUAUUCCUUUAGGCCAAUCACCUGGGCGACAACCUGCGUCGCCAAAAAUCGUCCGGCCUAAAUAUGCGCCUUUUGUAAAACUGGGCCGGCGAUUAAAACGUCCCGCAUGGGUAAAGUUAGGAAUUUGGUUGCCGUCGACGGCGCGAUAUUAACAGGUAUAUCCUCCAUUGGAUACUGCAAUUCCGCAAUCGACAACCCUGGACGUGGGAUUAUAUUCGAUGGCAAAAAUAUUUAUUUAAUUCUGGUUUCAAAAUUCUUAUCAUGGGUUUUCCCGAAAACUUUGGAGCGGAUGGCUUUUUUUAACUUUAAAUCCAUUGUAUUAUUCCGGGUUUCUUUAUUCCCGACAAUUACAAAGGCGCGGCCGGCCUCAACUAUUAUAAGAAUAUCUAAAAAAUUAUCCCCAUAUACCGUAACGUUGCGGCGAUAAUCCCCAAUCUUAAAAAUGGCAAACCAUGCCACAAUUAUCGCUUUAGUUUGGGGUAUUACGACGUAUUGGUCCCUAACUCGGCCGCCACCAAAAAUAAAAAUCCCCUGGAGCCUUAUUCGUUGGAACGCCAUUUCCCAAACCCGGCGGACGCCAUUUAUUACUACCAACGGAAUUACCCGCGGAUUUCGGGUAACCUGUAACAAAAUAAUGGCCAUUUCCGGAUAAAUGGUAAUUUGGUUAAAUACGGUGUCGCAAAUGGAAUUAUACAUCUCGUUAAAACAUUCGAAACUUUCUAGAAACACCGACAUUUGCUGGAAAACAUAAUGGGUAUAGCCCAACGGGCCGCCGAAAACCGUUUUAAAAACAACUUUUAUUUCCUUUGGUUAUUUUAAAUAGCCAUUACUGAGGCACUUUUUUACGAAAAACGUUCCAAAAUCUUAAAAGGCAAAUGUCCGGUCCGUAUUAAAUACCAAAAUAUUGCUGCAUAAUUCAAAUUGGAUAUUGCUGAAAAUCCUACUGGUUAUAAAUACCGCAAAAUCUAAAUUUUGCUGCUCGUUCAAAUUCCAAAAUAAAUACAAAUCUGCGACGCGCUGCACCGUUAUUUCCUUCCUUCCAUUAACAAUUGCGAAAACAAUACUUUUAUUUAAAUAAAAGUAAAACAGCCUUUUAACCUCGACAUCCUACCACCUGUUUACCUCCUUAAUUGGGAAUAAUACUCGCUUCCGCUGCAUAUUAACAACGCAUUAUUUGCAAAUAUUUUUUGCGGGGACCUUAAAAUAAAUAAUAUACGUAAAUAUUUCCAGGUCGGCUUUAAUAUAUACUUUUUGCAAACCCCCGUCGAGAUUAUCGUUUGGCAGGAUAAAAUGGCCGGCCACCAGGGCGCUCUUGCCGUUAUUACAGGCAUCCCUGCCAAUUUGUCUAAUAGCCGUAGCCCGGUGGCGCUAUUUAUCUGCGUGCGGCAGCUUUUUAAAGGCAGUUAAACCGCCGUCCACAACAAAAUCGAUGACUUCAGAGCCCUUAUAAUAGUCGUACUCCUCAAACCAUAUUUCUGUCGUUUGGCGGAAUUAAAACAGCAGGGUUAUUUUGCCGGCUCCUGGAAAGCCGUAAAUACCAAUUAUAUUUGGAAUUUUAAUUUUAUUAACGCAUAUUGAAAAACUUCGCUAAUAGUGCUUACAAAAUACAAAUGUAAAAAAUAGCACAAAAUAAAAGAAAAAAAAAUAUUUCCAAAUUAAAAAAACAAGGGAAAAAUGGAAAUUUAUUUUUGUAAAUCCAAAUGUCGAAGGGAGCUAGGGAAAAUAUCUGAUCGAAAUAAAAUAAUUUCCAAAAUUUGCCACCUAUCCGAAUUAAUAUGCAAAAUAUAAGGUAAAUGGGAAUAUUUAUUUUUUAAAUAUUAUUAAAUAUAAUUAGGAAAAGAUAAUAUAAUUACAUUAAACUGUUAAUUGCAAAAGGGAUUUACCAUCCUUAAUAUUUUGCACCUAUGCAAAGACCACCCUCCGUAAUAUAAACGGGUCAAAGUCUCCGGUUAUACGUAAUUAACAAUAAUAGGGAUAAUAUUAUACCUUACACUAUAAUAUUAUAUAGGAGACGGCCUGCCGCCAUUUAUUUCUUAAGGUUUGGGAAACGUAUAAAUAAUAAUGCUAAUUUGUUAACGAUUGGAUUAAAAAUAAUUUCGGGAAUAUAUUAGUUAUUUGCAAACAGAGAUAUAUGGAAGGCCGCCAAAACAAAAUAACCGGUUUAAUACAAAUAUUAUCAAAUUUCGCUUGGUUAAAAACGCCCGAUUACAUUAAUUAAAUCCGCGGCGAUAUAUUGCAACGACGGGACUUCAUAAUCAAAAGCCGAAUUAAAAAAGCCCCUCGUUUGUAAUUAAAGAAGCAAAAGCCAAAAGGCCUUUACCCUCGUUACCCAACUCCUGCAAAUCCGCGGAUCUAACCUAUACCGCCUUAUAACCUCAUCGACCUUGCUAAUCUUCCUGGGGUUAACAACUUUUCUAAUUUCUUUCAACUUUCGUCCCCUCGCACCGCACGCAAAUACCACGAUACAAUAAAAGGUCCACCGCAGGUUAAAUUUGGCUAUUAUAUAUAAUAAUAUAUUGGCGGGCACCGCAAUAAAUAUAUAAUUUUAAAAAGGGUGUCCGUCAAACCGCGCUCUAUUAAUUGUAAAAACGAUAUCGGCCGUUUCGUUUAAUUGUAAAAUCGAUAUAAUAGCGGUACGGCGUUCGACCAAUUUUUUAUAUAGCCGGGCACGAUGCCACAAUACCGAAACCUGGCGGGGUAAAAAUAUAAAUAUGUGCCAGCGGUGGAAGGCGGCGUUUCGGAAGCGAAUUUUAAUUUUUUAUUUUAUUUUAUAAUGGUAUUUGGUAGUGGAACAACUUUUUAUAAAUUUACGUCAAUUAUAAUAUCGGCUAUAAAAAAGACAGAUAAUAUAUAAAAAUCAAAUAGCGUUACAAACCGAGUUCCACCACCAUUGUUUUUUUGCUACGUUUGGGCGGCGACGUUUUCGUACCGUAUAUUGAAAAAAAAAAUUAAAUUUUCGCUGCCUAUUCGAUUAACCAAUCGAAAGAGUUUUUACCCUAUUUAAACGGUGCCAAUACCGUCCGGACCCGCAUUUUGCUGGGUAAUAAAUAAUAUGCCCGGUAAUGGAGGGCCUCCUAUAUCGUAAUGGACGCGGUUUUAAAUGGAGUAGGGGUAAAUGGCGCAAAAUGGUUUGUGUGUUUUAAGGGUUAUAUGGACGUAUUAUAACCACCUAAAGAAUUGUAUAAGCAAACCCAGUACGGUUAACUGCCCCCAAUAUCUUCCAAAAAUACGAAUCUUGGAGUUUUGUAUUCUAUAUAACUUUGGCAAAUACUUCGAUCCUAAUUUUAUUAACAGAGCCUUUUGUAUUUUAAAUGUUAAUUUAUAACUGGAUCGCCCAUUCGCAAAACUGUUAAAUUAUUAUUCGUUAUUAUUAAUUACCUUUAUUUUCGUAAAUGUGGAAGCAAACCACGUUAACCAUAUUAAUACCCAGCAAAAACCACGCUAAAAUACGGCCAACCAACAAUCAAAAAUAAUACCGAAAAGAAGACAAUUGCAUUUUGUCAAUUGCUCACAGCCCAAAUAGCGCGUUAUUAAUAAAAUAAAAAUUAUUUUUUUUUAAUUAAAUAUGCUGCCAUUAUACAGAAGGCCCCUUAUAUGCAAAGGUUAGGGAAAAUGCUUUAUUGCGGGCCAUUAACCAAAAUGUUUGCUUAUUAAAUAUAUCGGAAACCUACGGUUGCAUUUACAGAAAUUAUUAGGUUUAUAUAAAGGGCCUGUUAUUUUCCUAUUAUUAUAUCUUACAAAUAAUAGUUUUGGUGGGUAUUAUUUAUAUUAUUACGAAAAAGCUUUGAAAUAUAUACGGUUAAUUCUCCAUAUAUAUAACCAAAAACGGGCGUAGUAAUUUGUGGUUGAAAACGGGCUGGAAUGGCCGCAUAAUGCAAUCAAAUAACAAUAUUGCAAAAAUUAUACGCCUAUAGGCGAGCUGACGAGGUAUUAAUUAAUACGCUAUAUUACCCCCUGUCGCUUCGCAAAAAAGCCCGCCCAAAAGCUAUUAGCUCCAGGAAAGGACGGCCUCCUAUAUAAGGGGUAAUAUUAUUCCGACUGGCUGGCUAGUAGCACACCAUAUAUUAAAUUAUAUAUAUUGUUUUUAAAAAUAUAUAAUUAUAUAUUGUGGGAAAGAUAGAAGCAUGUAAGGGUAGUUACAACGCCCCUUUCCAUACUUUUAUUAUAUUAUUGCCUAUUCGCAAACGUCGAUUUGCGCCUUUCCUAUAUAAAAAAGAUACGUCUAGUAAUUUCCCCAGGCCUAGCCAAAUUAACAGCGUAAAUUAUAAUUUGGUUAAUUAGAAUUUCCCUUUAUCCGCCGUAUUUUCUUUUUUAAUAACGAAUUAUAUAAUUCUGUCGCGCAAAUUUUGCACCAUAUAUAGGAUAUUCUCCCCUUAUAUUAAAAUAUUUGUUUUCGGCCGCCCAUAUCCUGUAAGUUUUCCAAAUAUAACGUUUUUUUUUUUUUUCAUCUUCCGUCCUUUCCCAUAGGCAAUCCCUUUUGGGAUAUUUUCGAUAUUGGUGCAUAUAUAUCCUAUAUAAUAGGCAAAUAAAUCAGGAAGGUAACAAUAAUUAUUAUAAGUGAGAUAAUUAAAAGAAUUAGCUUGAAUUGAAUUUAUUCCAGUUUAUUUAAAAUUGCGGCGUUGUAUCGGCAAUUUUUCCAGUUGCAACGAAGGCGAAUUUUUUGUUUUGCUGGCUGUUUUCCAGAAAUAUUUUUAGCAGGAAUAAAAUAUUAUAAAAAUUUGUGACAAAAUAGGAAAAAACAAUUGUUUAAUUUUACUAGGCUGUUAACAAUACCUUUUAAUAAACCUAAAUUCGUUAUUUUCCGGUACCGUUUGCACCGAUUUUUUAUUAAAAGCCAUAGGAUUUUGAUAAAAUCGUUGCAAUUCACCAGCGGUUUAAAUUUUUUGGGAUAAUGUGGAGGAAUUAUUUCGGUUAAAUACUGCUGGGUUAACCCCCCAAAUAUUAUCGGUAAAUAACGGCGCUGGAAUCGGCUUUUUAAAAAAUUCGAUAUUGGACAAAAAUUGAUAUU